rnacentral:tRNA from 1 species
CUAUUAAUGAGAAUUUUUCUCUCUUAUCA